rnacentral:snRNA from 1 species
GUGCUCAUUUCAGCAGCACAUAUAUUAAAACUGGAACGAUACAGAGAGGAUUAGCAUGGCCCCUGCACAAGGAUGACGUGCAAAUUUGUGAAGCGGUCCAUAUUUGC